rnacentral:pre_miRNA from 1 species
UUGUUACUCCCUCUGUCCGGAAAUACUUGUCGAAGAAAUGAAUAAAAAUGGAUGUAUCUAGAACUAAAAUAUAUCUAGAUACAUCCAUUCCUCCGACAAGUAUUUCCGGACGGAGGGAGUAGAAU